ACUCUGGGACAAGCCCUGGAAACGGGGUCUAAUACCGGAUAACACUCUGUCCUGCAUGGGACGGGGUUAAAAGCUCCGGCGGUGAAGGAUGAGCCCGCGGCCUAUCAGCUUGUUGGUGGGGUAAUGGCCUACCAAGGCGACGACGGGUAGCCGGCCUGAGAGGGCGACCGGCCACACUGGGACUGAGACACGGCCCAGACUCCUACGGGAGGCAGCAGUGGGGAAAUUGCACAAUGGGCGAAAGCCUGAUGCAGCGACGCCGCGUGAGGGAUGACGGCCUUCGGGUUGUAAACCUCUUUCAGCAGGGAAGAAGCG
rnacentral:rRNA from 1 species